rnacentral:rRNA from 1 species
UAGGGAAUCUUCGGCAAUGGACGAAAGUCUGACCGAGCAACGCCGCGUGAGUGAAGAAGGUUUUCGGAUCGUAAAACUCUGUUGUUAGAGAAGAACAAGGACGUUAGUAACUGAACGUCCCCUGACGGUAUCUAACCAGAAAUCCACGGCUAACUACGUGCCAGCAGCCGCGGUAAUACGUAGGUGGCAAGCGUUGUCCGGAUUUAUUGGGCGUAAAGCGAGCGCAGGCGGUUUCUUAAGUCUGAUGUGAAAGCCCCCGGCUCAACCGGGGGGGGUCAUUGGAAACUGGGAGACUUGAGUGCAGAAGAGGAGAGUGGAAUUCCAUGUGUAGCGGUGAAAUGCGUAGAUAUAUGGAGGAACACCAGUGGAGAAGGCGGCUCUAUGGUCUGUAACUGACGCUGAGGCUCGAAAGCGUGGGGAGCAAACAGG